UACAGAGGGUGCGAGCGUUAAUCGGAAUUACUGGGCGUAAAGGGCGCGUAGGCGGUUAGAUGAGUGUGAUGUGAAAGCCCUGGGCUUAACCUAGGAAGUGCAUUGCAAACGAUCUAACUGGAGUAGAUGAGAGGGUGGUGGAAUUUCCGGUGUAGCAGUGAAAUGCGUAGAGAUCGGAAGGAACGUCGAUGGCGAAGGCAGCCACCUGGCAUCAUACUGACGCUGAGGCGCGAAAGCGUGGGUAGCAAACAGG
rnacentral:rRNA from 1 species